UUUUAGGUAGUUUAAUUAAAUAUUAAAACAUAAAUUUUUGAAGUUUAAAAUGGAAUGGGAAAUUUUUUCUCCUAAAAG
rnacentral:tRNA from 1 species